rnacentral:rRNA from 1 species
UACGUAGGGGGCUAGCGUUGUCCGGAAUCAUUGGGCGUAAAGAGCGUGUAGGCGGCCCGGUAAGUCCGCUGUGAAAGUCGGGGGCUCAACCCUCGAAUGCCGGUGGAUACUGUCGGGCUAGAGUGCGGAAGAGGCGAGUGGAAUUCCUGGUGUAGCGGUGGAAUGCGCAGAUAUCAGGAGGAACACCAAUAGCGAAGGCAGCUCGCUGGGACGUUACUGACGCUGAGGCGCGAAAGCGUGGGGAGCGAACAGG